AUGUUGCCUUUUCUUGAAGUCCUGCUUACUGUAUUCCGUGUAGGAGCAGUUGCUGAGGUAGCCUCGGUAGCAGAAGCAGAAACCACAGCAGCUGAGGUGAUUAAUGCAGAGGCUGAACAGACCCCAGAACCUGUGGAGGCAGCAACUGCGAUAGUAGAAGCAGUAGCAGCUGAUGCUGAGGAACCUACUGCACCUGUUGCUGAGGAUGUCACUGCUGAGGCUGCUGCUCCCAUUGCUGAAACAACCGUUAUCCCAAUGUCUGACCUACUGAGCACUGUGAAAAUCCUGGCUGGAUCUACAGCAGAGAUUGCAGCUGCUUCGGUCGGUGAUCAGCACCUGGUGGCCACAGUGAGAUUGGCUGAGGAAAAUAAUUCUAUGGAGACCCUCAAUGGGCUGGAGGUUGCUGAUGUUAAAGCAGAGGUCCCAACAGAAGUGCCUGAGCGAGCCGUGGUUGAGGAAGCUAUGAUAGGUAGACUGAAUCUGAAAACAGAAGGAAAAGAACUGGAGGAACUGCCAUCAUCACUUCAUGCAGUAGAAGAAACUAUUGUUGUGGAAGAUGACCAUGUCAAGUCUGAGGCAGACAGCCCUGCUGUGCCUGAAGUUAAUGCUGAAAGCCUUGCUUCAUCAGAGGAGGCCCUUGUUACAGAGAUGGAGAACAUUUUGGAAUUAGAAGACUCAACAAGCCCUGUGGUGAUGCUCUCAGAAGAUGACACUGUCUCUGGAGCUGUAGAGUUGACAUCAGAAACAGUUGAGGAAGUAGGUCAGAAAAUGGAAGAAUGUAAAGCGUUGUGUCACGAGCCAACUGCCACAGAAACAGCACAUGCAGAUCUCACAGCACCACCAGCAGACCUAGAGGACUCAUUACAGGCUACAGGUGCAACAGAGGCUGCAGAAGAAGUUCUUGUCAUGGAAAUGGUGCAGGAUGCUGUGGAGAAACCUAAACCUGUUGAGGCAUCAGAUGAAGGUAACAUGAUUAUGGCACCAUAAGGAAUAGUUCACCUAAAAAUAAGAAUUUGCUAAAAGUUUACUCAACCUUAUGCCACCCAAGAUGUAGAUGAGUUUGUUUCUUCAUUGGAACAGAUUUGGAGAAAUUUUGCAUCGCUUGCUCACCAAUGAAUCCUCUGCAGUGAAUCGGUGUUGUCAGAAUGAGAGUUUAAACAGCUGAUAAAAACAUCCUUAAAGGGGUCCAGUCAAUCAUUUAACAUCUUGUGAAGUGGAAAAACUGCAUGUUUGUAAGGGGAAUAAGCUCACCAAUGAAUCCUCUGCAGUGAAUCGGUGUUGUCAGAAUGAGUUUAAACAGCUGCUAAAAAGAUCAUUAAAGGGGUCCAGUCAAUCAUUUAAUAUCUUGUGAAGUGGAAAAACUGCAUGUUUGUAAGGGAAAAAAAAGUGACUACAUUUUCAGCAAACUUUCAUUUUUGGGUGAACUAUUCCUUUUUUAAAAAAAAAAAAUAGGCUUUAGUUUUAGACAUUCAUCAUCAUUGUGUUUACUUCUUUUUUCACAGCUGUUGAAAGUGGAAAUGUUGCAAUGACCAUGACACAAGCCUGAAGUGAUUGUACCACACCUGAGACACUGGAAAUGAGUGAAACUAUACAAUCUGUGAUGUAAUGAUUACUGAGUAUAACAUAUGGUAGUGCUGUUACAGUCAUAAAAAAGACAUCUAAAUGACUUUUUAUUUCCAACUGAAUCGCAAAUUUGGUAAAUGACUAUGGUCUCCUUAAUUUUGUUAUUUCAUCUGAAAAUGAGAUUUAGUCAGUUAAAACAGAUUUGAGUUUAAUUGAUCUAAUUUUGUGUCUCUGGAAAACAGUGAUCUGUGACACUGUAUUAUGCUGAAUAUCAAAGGUUUUGUGGGCACAUUCAUGUUGUUAGAUUGCUUUUUAUUUUAACGUGAAAAGAUCAAAUUAGAAUUAAGGCAGAAGGUCCCAACUGGCAUGUUGUUGCUAGUGCUUAUUGUAAUUCAUUAGGUUAUUAUUCAGUUAUUCCGUUAUACACAAAAUAUUGUAAACAUGCAUUGCAAUAAGAUAUUUUGCUUUUAAAUGUGUAAUCAAAAUGGAAGGAAAUUGUAUAUGAAAUGUGAAUUAAUCACAUCGAUCUUAAAUUUAUUUAUAUUUAUUUAUUUUUAAUGUAUAGGUGUACAGAACUGAUUUUAAUUUAACUUGAAUUAAAUUUAAAUUCAUAGUGUUGCUAUUAUGAUGUACAUUAAAUUAAUAUAUGGUCAAUUAGAUAUGUAAGUUGUAGCAUAAAUUUACCUUUCAUAACCUUUCAUAAUUAUCUCACUGGGAUUUUAUCUGUAAUUGAUAAAUUAUUUAGUUGAUCUGUCAAAGCACAAUUUUAAAUAGUAUUUUAUAAUUACACACACACACAGAGAGAGAAAGAGAUUGUUAUGCUUGAGUUAAUUUAUUAUGUGAUUGUGCAUUCUGAAUGAGAACAUGAUUAAACUAUUGAGUAUUGCAGAGAACAUAGAACAAAACUGAAAUGUGUGUUUAAAAAAAAGUUAAUUAUUUUAAAUGCAUCUUUGUUUCAAGAACUGCAUGAACUGUUUUGGAAAUUAGACCAACUGAAUUUGUUUUUUAUAGUGUUAACACUUUAAAAACAUUGUGUUAUAGUGUCUGAAAUGAAUCUCUACUAUGUGCUCUCACCAGUUCUUGGCAAGGCAUAAUACUUGUGAAGUCAUUAUUUACAGAAAGAGUGUAUUUACAUUAAACUCAUUCAAUAUCUGAUUUUCAAAAUUGUCUCUUACUAAUUCACAAGCAGUCCGGACACAACAAGUAGCCAAAAUACAAGUAGUCAGAACAUUCAUUCUAGACUUGUAGUAUUAUAUAUUGUUGUUGUUUGUUUGUAAAUAUCCAUAUAAUUUAGUUAUUUUAUUUUAACAUUAGUUAAUAAAUUAACAAACAAGCUUAGUGUUAUGCA
ensembl:lncRNA